rnacentral:rRNA from 1 species
GAUGAACGCUAGCUACAGGCUUAACACAUGCAAGUCGCGGGGCAGCAUGGGGGUUGCUUGCAAUCCCCGAUGGCGACCGGCGCACGGGUGAGUAACGCGUAUCCAACCUGCCCUUCACCACGGGAUAACCCGGCGAAAGUCGGACUAAUACCGUAUGUUGUCCAUUGACGGCAUCCGAUUUGGACGAAAGGUUUGGCGGUGAAGGAUGGGGAUGCGUCCGAUUAGCUGGACGGCGGGGUGACGGCCCACCGUGGCGACGAUCGGUAGGGGUUCUGAGAGGAAGGUCCCCCACACUGGAACUGCGACACGGUCCAGACUCCUACGGGAGGCAGCAGUGAGGAAUAUUGGUCAAUGGGCGUAAGCCUGAACCAGCCAAGUAGCGUGCAGGAUGACGGCCCUAUGGGUUGUAAACUGCUUUUAUGCGGGGAUAAAGUGGCCCACGUGUGGGUUUCUGCAGGUACCGCAUGAAUAAGGACCGGCUAAUUCCGUG